rnacentral:lncRNA from 1 species
AUGAAACACACAAGACAGUAGGCUGACAAAUAAAAUACCUCUGUUAAAAAGGAGUUUAUGUUGCAAAAUGUCAUGAAUUGGAUAGCAGUACAUGCUCCAUCCGGAUCAACUGCAUAAACAGUGAAAAUAAUGCUCCAUCCAAAUCAACUGCAUAAAAUUUUCGACAAUCAAAUAAACAUGAAGGUCGAGCUUCAUUUUUUAAGCCAAAAACAGUGAAUUCAAUGAACCAUAACUUCUAAAUUGAACAAUAACUUCUAAACUGAAUUGAACAAUCUUCUUGAGAAAAGAUUUUGCAAAAUUGGGAAAAACACUUAGAAUACUACAAUGCAGUGGAAAUAAUUUUAAAUUACAAAUCGAAACACUCAAACACGGCCAAAUUAUUAUUCAAAUAAACGUGUUCCAUUUCAUUCGUUUCAUCUGGAAAUAAUUCUGUCCAGCGGCUCCAGCCAGUCCAGGAAAUCAAUGACAAUAAAUAAAAGCUUCAUAGACAUAAAGGACACAUUUUUUUACACUAGUAGUCGAACAAUUCAUGAAAUAUUACCUUCAUCGAUGCAAAACGGCAGUUCAGUUGCGGCGGCCUGCGGACUUGGGUGGGGGAAAAUUGGGGUUUCGAGUUUCGACUUUGGGGAUAUUUGAUACACUAAUCCAGGAGAUGCGGCCACCGGUGGAGGACUGGAAGUAGAAGUAGC